CGAACGGGUGAGUAAUACAUCGGAACGUGCCCAAUCGUGGGGGAUAACGCAGCGAAAGCUGUGCUAAUACCGCAUACGAUCUACGGAUGAAAGCAGGGGAUCGCAAGACCUUGCGCGAAUGGAGCGGCCGAUGGCAGAUUAGGUAGUUGGUGAGGUAAAGGCUCACCAAGCCUUCGAUCUGUAGCUGGUCUGAGAGGACGACCAGCCACACUGGGACUGAGACACGGCCCAGACUCCUACGGGAGGCAGCAGUGGGGAAUUUUGGACAAUGGGCGAAAGCCUGAUCCAGCCAUGCCGCGUGCAGGAUGAAGGCCUUCGGGUUGUAAACUGCUUUUGUACGGAACGAAACGGCCUUUUCUAAUAAAGAGGGCUAAUGACGGUACCGUAAGAAUAAGCACCGGCUAACUACGUGCCAGCAGCCGCGGUAAUACGUAGGGUGCAAGCGUUAAUCGGAAUUACUGGGCGUAAAGCGUGCGCAGGCGGUGAUGUAAGACAGUUGUGAAAUCCCCGGGCUCAACCUGGGAACUGCAUCUGUGACUGCAUCGCUGGAGUACGGCAGAGGGGGAUGGAAUUCCGCGUGUAGCAGUGAAAUGCGUAGAUAUGCGGAGG
rnacentral:rRNA from 1 species